CUACGGGUCGCUCCAGUGAGGAAUAUUGCACAAUGGGGGGAACCCUGAUGCAGCAACGCCGCGUGGAGGAUGACGCCUUUCGUUUUGUAAACUCCUUUUAUAUGUCAAGAAAAUGACGGUAGCAUAUGAAUAAGCACCGGCUAACUCCGUGCCAGCAGCCGCGGUAAUACGGAGGGUGCAAGCGUUACUCGGAAUCACUGGGCGUAAAGGACGCGUAGGCGGGUUGGAAAGUCAGGUGUGAAAUCCUACAGCUUAACUGUAGAACUGCACUUGAAACUUCUAAUCUAGAGUAUGGGAGAGGGAGAUGGAAUUAGUGGUGUAGGGGUAAAAUCCGUAGAUAUCACUAGGAAUACCUAAAGCGAAGGCGAUCUCCUGGAACAUUACUGACGCUAAGGCGUGAAAGCGUGGGGAGCAAACAGGAUUAGAUACCCGCGUAGUC
rnacentral:rRNA from 1 species